GUUCUUUGGCUCCAAGCACGCAUUUUCCCUCUUUGUUUUCCUUCGCUUUCCCUAGAGUCCUCCUCUUGCCCUACCUCUCUCAAAUUUUGUAUAUUAGCCAUUUGUCUUCCAAUUUAUCAUCUUCUACAGCUAUGUUGAUCUCCAGGGUGGUUUUGUCGCGCGUAUCGAGGGGCUUGGGCCGAUGCUCCCUGCUUCUCCUUUCUCCUUCGCAGAAGCAGCAGCUACCAAUCUUCACCAAUCAGAUUGACUCUCUAGUUCAUGAAUAUCCUAAACAGAUGUUCAUCCUGUUCCAGUUUGUUGCAAGCCAGUUGUCUUUGUUUCAUCAUUCAGCCUUCUGUUCCUCCCCACUUCAACGAUUUGGAUUUGCUUCAUCUGCAUCCCCUGAGCCUAAUGGAAAAGAACAGGGGAGCGGUGUAGGGAAUAAUGGUGCUUCCUCAAAUGUUGAAUCAGAAAAAACAAAUGGAGAUGCAAAGCCUUCUGAUCAGGCAGAAAAUUCAUCUUCUGGAGAGACCAAAUUAUCAGGUUUUAACUCAGAAUCCCAAUCAAACAUGUCUCAAUCUGUCAAAAGAAGGAGAAGAGGUGCUAAACGAACUGCAUUUUCUGAUUCAGAUUCAGAGGCUGAAGACGAUCUGUCAAUGGAUGAUUUGGUGAAGCUUGUGGCGGAAAAGGAAGAACUUCUGAAGUUGAAGCACAAAGAGAUUGAAAAAAUGCAAGAUAAAGUUCUUCGCACUUAUGCAGAAAUGGAGAAUGUCAUGGAAAGGACAAAACGUGAAGCAGAGAACUCUAAAAAGUUUGCCAUACAGAAUUUUGCAAAGGGUCUACUAGAUGUUGCUGACAAUUUGGGAAGAGCUUCAUCCGUUGUCAAAGACAGUUACUCAAAAAUUGAUCCAUCAACUGACACUGCUGGGGCAGUUCCACUUCUUAAGACCCUUUUGGAAGGAGUUGAAAUGACUGAGAAGCAGCUUGCAGAGGUGUUUAGGAAAUUUGGAGUAGAAAAAUUUGAUCCAAUGAAUGAGCCAUUUGAUCCGCAUAGGCAUAAUGCAGUUUUCCAGGUACCAGACGCUUCUAAGCCUCCAAGCACUGUUGCAGCAGUUCUAAAGGCAGGAUACUCUCUCUAUGAUCGUGUUAUCCGGCCAGCUGAAGUUGGUGUUACAAAGGCAGAAGAGAAUGAAACAGAAUCAAACAAUUAAGGUGGUAACUUCUUGAAGACUUUGCUAGGACAUAAAUUCAAAAAGUUUUGCAUUUGCGAGAGAAAAAUGGAGUGUAAUGCUUUCUUGCCAGACUAGCCUACUGUUAUCUAGUGCACUCACUAGAUGGCCAUUGGGGAAAGGGGAUUAACGAUCCAGCCUAGAGCUAUAGAAUUGCAGUGCUCUUACCAGCCGAUAAGUGACACGGUAAAAGUAGGUAGAUAUUUGAAGUUUUGUUAAAAAAAAAGGACCAAAAUGCAUUGCAGAUUGACAAAAGAGCCGAAUUUAUAUGCCUGGAUUACGAUUGCAUUAAAUGAGACGGGAUGCGACUUGUUGCAGGACUGAAAUCAUUGAGCUAACCAUCGACUGUUGGUGCUGGAUAUCAUCUCUCAAUUUAAAUUUAUUUAAUAAAAUCAUUUAAUUUUAAUUUAUUUUAUAAAAGUCUCCCAUAUUUUAAUCA